rnacentral:lncRNA from 1 species
CGCGACUCCUCUAAUUUUUAGGAUUUUGAGAUGCAAAACCUUAAAAAUUGAGCAAAAUUUAGGGGGAGAAGUUUUGCUCUUAAUUUGUUCAAGGAGGACAUGUUAGAAGGUUACAAAACACUCUAAACCUUAUUUCUUCUACUUCUUCACCAUUUGGGCUCUCUAGAUUAUCUAGAUUUAGAUCCAUGCAUGGAGGGGAGAGAAAAUAGUGGUUUUUUAGCUCUAGAUCUAAAUAUCUAGCUACGAACCCAAAGUUUGCGAGAAUCAGAAACUGGAAGAACAAAACCAGAUACACACCAU